UACAGAGGGGGCAAGCGUUGUUCGGAAUUACUGGGCGUAAAGGGCGCGUAGGCGGCCGCCUAAGUCAGACGUGAAAUCCCUCGGCUCAACCGGGGAACUGCGUCUGAUACUGGGUGGCUUGAAUUCGGGAGAGGGAUGCGGAAUUCCAGGUGUAGCGGUGAAAUGCGUAGAUAUCUGGAGGAACACCGGUGGCGAAGGCGGCAUCCUGGACCGAGAUUGACGCUGAGGCGCGAAAGCUAGGGGAGCAAACAGG
rnacentral:rRNA from 1 species